UACGAAGGGGGCUAGCGUUGUUCGGAAUUACUGGGCGUAAAGCGCACGUAGGCGGACUGUCAAGUCAGGGGUGAAAUCCCGGGGCUCAACCUCGGAACUGCCUUUGAUACUGUCAGUCUAGAGUCCGGAAGAGGUGGGUGGAAUUCCUAGUGUAGAGGUGAAAUUCGCAGAUAUUAGGAAGAACACCGGUGGCGAAGGCGGCCCACUGGUCCGGAACUGACGCUGAGGUGCGAAAGCGUGGGGAGCAAACAGG
rnacentral:rRNA from 1 species